GUGCUCGCUCCAGUAGCACAUACACUACAAUUGGAAUAAUACAGAAAAGAUUAGCAUGGCCCCUGUGCAAAGAUGGCAUGCAAAUUUGUGAGGCAUUCCAUAUUUUA
ensembl:snRNA U6 U6 spliceosomal RNA